AGGUUAAGCUAGAAAGGGCGCACGGUGGAUGCCUUGGCACUAGGAGCCGAUGAAGGACGGGGCAAACGCCGAAACGCUCCGGGGAGCUGUAAGCAAGCGUGGAUCCGGAGAUGUCCGAAUGGGGGAACCCACUGUCCGUAAUGGGGCAGUAUCCAUGCCUGAAUCCAUAGGGCAUGGAGGGCACACCCGGGGAACUGAAACAUCUUAGUACCCGGAGGAGAAGAAAGCAAACGCGAUUCCCCGAGUAGCGGCGAGCGAAACGGGAACAGCCCAAACCAAGAGGCGUGUCCUCUUGGGGUUGUAGGACCGCUCAUGGUGGGAGUGAGAAAGGGACGGGGUAGACGAACCGGUCUGGAACGGCCGGCCAGAGAAGGUGAGAGCCCUGUAGUCGAAACUUCGUUCCCUCCCGAGCGGAUCCUGAGUACGGCGGGACACGAGGAAUCCCGUCGGAAGCAGGGAGGACCAUCUCCCAAGGCUAAAUACUCCCUAGUGACCGAUAGUGAACCAGUACCGUGAGGGAAAGGUGAAAAGCACCCCGGGAGGGGAGUGAAAGAGAACCUGAAACCGUGUGCCUACAAGUAGUCAGAGCCCGUUGAUGGGUGAUGGCGUGCCUUUUGUAGAAUGAACCGGCGAGUGACGAUGGCGUGCGAGGUUAAGCCGAAGAGGCGGAGCCGCAGCGAAAGCGAGUCUGAACAGGGCGAAAAGUACGUCGUCGUCGACCCGAAACCAGGUGAUCUACCCAUGUCCAGGGUGAAGGCCGGGUAACACCGGCUGGAGGCCCGAACCCACGCACGUUGAAAAGUGCGGGGAUGAGGUGUGGGUAGGGGUGAAAUGCCAAUCGAACUUGGAGAUAGCUGGUUCUCCCCGAAAUAGCUUUAGGGCUAGCCUCGGGCUUGAGAGUGUUGGAGGUAGAGCACUGAUUGGGCUAGGGGCCCAAACCGGGUUACCGAACCCAGUCAAACUCCGAAUGCCAACGACUUAUGCCCGGGAGUCAGACGGCGAGUGAUAAGAUCCGUGGUCGAGAGGGGAACAGCCCAGACCGCCAGCUAAGGCCCCCAAGUGCACGUUCAGUGGAAAAGGAUGUGGAGUUGCCAAGACAACCAGGAUGUUGGCUUAGAAGCAGCCACCAUUUAAAGAGUGCGUAAUAGCUCACUGGUCGAGUGACUCUGCGCCGAAAAUGUACCGGGGCUAAACGUGCCGCCGAAGCUGCGGGAUGACCGUUGGUCAUCGGUAGGGGAGCGUUCUAAGGGCAGAGAAGCCAGACCGGAAGGACUGGUGGAGCGCUUAGAAGUGAGAAUGCCGGUAUGAGUAGCGAAAACAGAGGUGAGAAUCCUCUGCGCCGAAAGCCUAAGGGUUCCUGAGGAAGGUUCGUCCGCUCAGGGUUAGUCGGGACCUAAGCCGAGGCCGAAAGGCGUAGGUGAUGGACAACAGGUUGAGAUUCCUGUACCACCUUCUUCCCGUUUGAGCGAUGGGGGGACGCAGGAGGAUAGGGCGAGCAGGCGGCUGGAAGAGCCUGUCCAAGCCGUGAGGCUGAUCCGCAGGCAAAUCCGCGGAUUGGAAGGCCGAGCGGUGACGGCGACGGAGUCAUCCGGAAGUCCCCGAUUUCACACUGCCAAGAAAAGCCUCUAGCGAGGGAAGAGGUGCCCGUACCGCAAACCGACACAGGUAGGCGAGGAGAGAAUCCUAAGGCGCGCGGGAGAACUCUCGUUAAGGAACUCGGCAAAAUGACCCCGUAACUUCGGGAGAAGGGGUGCUCUUUGGGGUGAAGAGCCCUGAAGAGCCGCAGUGAAAAGGCCCAAGCGACUGUUUAUCAAAAACACAGGUCUCUGCGAAGCCGAAAGGCGACGUAUAGGGGCUGACACCUGCCCGGUGCUGGAAGGUUAAGGGGAGCGCUUAGCGGAAGCGAAGGUGCGAACCGAAGCCCCAGUAAACGGCGGCCGUAACUAUAACGGUCCUAAGGUAGCGAAAUUCCUUGUCGGGUAAGUUCCGACCCGCACGAAAGGUGUAACGACUUGGGCGCUGUCUCAACGAGAGACCCGGUGAAAUUAUACUACCUGUGAAGAUGCAGGUUACCCGCGACAGGACGGAAAGACCCCGUGGAGCUUUACUGCAGCCUGAUAUGGAAUUUUGGUAUCGCUUGUACAGGAUAGGUGGGAGCCUGGGAAGCCGGAGCGCCAGCUUCGGUGGAGGCGGCGGUGGGAUACCACCCUGGCGGUAUUGAAAUUCUAACCCGCACCCCUUAGCGGGGUGGGAGACAGUGUCAGGCGGGCAGUUUGACUGGGGCGGUCGCCUCCCAAAAGGUAACGGAGGCGCCCAAAGGUUCCCUCAGAAUGGUUGGAAAUCAUUCGGAGAGUGCAAAGGCACAAGGGAGCUUGACUGCGAGACGGACAGGUCGAGCAGGGACGAAAGUCGGGCUUAGUGAUCCGGUGGUUCCGCAUGGAAGGGCCAUCGCUCAACGGAUAAAAGCUACCCCGGGGAUAACAGGCUGAUCUCCCCCAAGAGUCCACAUCGACGGGGAGGUUUGGCACCUCGAUGUCGGCUCAUCGCAUCCUGGGGCUGUAGUCGGUCCCAAGGGUUGGGCUGUUCGCCCAUUAAAGCGGUACGCGAGCUGGGUUCAGAACGUCGUGAGACAGUUCGGUCCCUAUCCGUCGCGGGCGGAGGAAAUUUGAGAGGAGCUGUCCUUAGUACGAGAGGACCGGGAUGGACGCACCGCUGGUGUACCAGUUGUCCCGCCAGGGGCACCGCUGGGUAGCUAUGUGCGGACGGGAUAAGCGCUGAAAGCAUCUAAGCGUGAAGCCCCCCUCAAGAUGAGAUUUCCCACCGCGUUAGGCGGGUAAGAUCCCUCGAAGAUGACGAGGUCGAUAGGUCCGAGGUGGAAGCGUGGCGACACGUGGAGCUGACGGAUACUAAUCGAUCGAGGGCUUAACCUAG
rnacentral:rRNA from 1 species